GACGGGCUAAUAUCAGAUAAUGCAGCGACUCCGCAUGGAGACAGUUGUUAAAGUACAAGCGCCUGAAGAUGAGCCUGCGGUCCAUUAGCUAGUUGGUAGAGUAACAGCCUACCAAGGCAACGAUGGAUAGCUGGUCUGAGAGGAUGAUCAGCCACACUGGAACUGAGACACGGUCCAGACUCCUACGGGAGGCAGCAGUAAGGAAUAUUGCUCAAUGGCCGAAAGGCUGAAGCAGCAACGCCGCGUGAAGGAUGAAUGGCCUUUGGCCUGUAAACUUCUGUAAAAAGGGAAAAACAGUCGGGUAUAUCCUGAUUUGAUUGUACCUUUGAAGUAAGCCCCGGCUAACUACGUG
rnacentral:rRNA from 1 species